CAGUGGAUAACUUGCUGGCCCCGAAGUUAAGUCCUGGGUACAAAUCUCACUGUAGACACAUACUACCUGUGUGAUCUAGACACUCCAGAAUGAAGACAACUAGAACAAGCUCUCCAACUGUGAUUACCUUGAUAGAUCUGCCUGGCUCUGCAGACUCCCAAGCUUGUUUCAUUGCUCGGAUUUCAUCAGCUCUUUCUGUAUCCUUCUUAACUUCCAGAAUGUCGGUGUCAAUCUGUUCGGUGACCAGUCGCAGCACCCAAUAAGGGCAAUUGGGUUUAAGUGACUUGCCCAGGGUCACGCAGCUGGUAAGUUUUUUAAGUGUCUGAGGCUGGAUUUGAACUCAGGUACUCCUGAAUCCAGGGCCGGUGCUCUAUCCACAACUUACUCUCUUUCAACCAGCCAAGUCAACUAUGUGCCAGGUUAGCAGAAAGAGAUGGACUAUAUCUAGUUUCAAGUAUAGUACAGAAAGGUAUGCGGUUGCUGAACUAUAAACAUCUUCCCAUCCCUGGGAUACAUGUGGACAGGGAAUCAAAAUGAGUCUAAAAGAACAGAGGUAAUAGGGUUCACAGGGGAGAGAAAAGGGGACUGAAUGGAAUCUACCAUGACUGAGACACAAUCUUUGAAAACACUUACCUAUAGAAUUCAAUAAGUUAGUACAUACUUCCCAAUCUAGUAUCUGGGGGUCAAAUAUAAAUACACACAUAAUACAUACAUACAUAUAAGGCCCUAAAGAAACCCAACUAGACACAAUAAAAACAAAACAAAAAAACAGCAGAUUACCACACUGAAAAAAUAAUAAAAAAAUAGUUCACAACAAAUGAAGAGGAAAUAAAGGAAAGCAUUAGAAACUAUUUUACCCAACUAAACGCCAAUAAAAUUGAUAACAAAAGAAAUUUUAAGAAAAAUGAAUAAUACCUAGAU